UAAGUCAUUUACCACUUGUUUGUCUACCUUCCAGAGCAUCAAAUGUUGCUCCCUCACUUGUUCACUUUGUCCUCAUGAAUUUAUGACUUUUCUCCCCAUUUGUCUCAGUUUGUUCGGGCCGCUAUAACAAAAGCAACCACCAUAGACUGUGUGGUUUAUAAACACCAAACAUUUAUUUCUCACAAGAUCUAGAGGCUGGGAAAUCACAGAUCAGGGUGCCAGUAGAUUUGGUAUCUGGUGAGGGUCUGAUCCUGGUUCACAGAUGGCUGACUUCUCAUUGUAACCCCACGAAGUUGAGGGGUGAGGGAGCUCUCUAGGGUGUCUUUUAUAAGGACACUAAUCCCAUUCUUGAGGGCUCCACCCUCAUGACCUAAUUAUCUCUAAAAGCUCUACCUUGUAACACCAUCACAUUGGGAGUUAGGUUUCAACAUGUGAAUAUUUGAGGGCACAAACAUUCAUUCAAUCUAUAGCAUCAUACCUGUAUUUUAUUUUAUUUUAGCUUUUUUAAUGUUUAUUUUAGAGAGAGAGAAAGCAAGCAAGCAAGCCAGCCAACCACUCGGGGAGGGGCAGAGAGAGAGACACACAGAAUCCGAAGCAGGCUUCAGGCUUUGAGCUGUCAGCACGGAGCCUGAUGCAGGGCUCAAACUUGUGAACUGCAAAGUCAUGACCUGAGCUGAAGUCAGAUGCUCAACUGGCUGAGCCACCCAGGAGUCCCUGCCUUUAUUUUAUUUCUUUUAAUGUUUACUUAUUUAUUUUGAAAGAGAGCAAGCAAGCAGGAGAGGGGGCAGAGAGAGGAAGAGAGAGAGAAUCCCAAGCAGGCUUUGCACUGUCAGUGUGGAGCCCAAUGAGGGACUUGAACCCACGAACGGUGAGAUUAUGACCUGAGCAGAAACAAAGAAGUCGGGAAGCUAAAUCGACCAAGCCAUCCACACACCCUGCAUACCUGUAUUUUAGGAGGGACUUUGGGGGAGAGUUGACGCCAGUGCAUGCAAUUUUUCAUUGGAAACUGAAAGGAAACAUUGGAUUUGUCUCUAAAAUUUUCUGUUUUGCCUUUUCAUUUUUAUUAUGAUUUAUAUGAUUGGGAUGUGAUAUAAAAUUUCAACAUGCCAAUUGAAUAAUUGAUCAGGUUGUAAUGAUGUUACAUAUAUAGAUAGCUUUUCUUUGGUGAAAUGGAACUGUUUUACCUGAAGGAUCAAGAACAAAUUAUAAAUCGUUAUCAUUGGCUAUGAGCUUAUAGUUGGCUUUUAUUUCCUUUUUUAUACUUUCAUUUCCUUUUUAUACUUUAAUUCUUGAUCUUUUUCUCUUUAAUUCCUAAAUUUUCUACAAUAAAUAAAUGUAAUUAGGAAAAAAUAACACCUAAGUUGAGAAAAGUUGUUAAUCAAAUCCUUGUAUAAAAAUUGGCUCUAGAUCCCAGUGUUCUUUACCUCCUUUAGGUAAUCUGCAGUUAAUGAACACUAAAUUUGGGGUGUGCGUGUGUUUUGCGGAGUUCAUUCUGAUCUCGCAACUUUUUAUUUUGAGGAAUUGAAAGACUAGCACAAUGAAUACCUAUAUAAUCGCCAUUUUACCACAUUUGUUUUAUUUUUAAGUACCUUUACUGAAGUACAGUUUACACAGCAUAAAUUAUCCCAGUUGAAGUGGAUACUUGAAUGAUUGUUAGUAAGCUUACAGAAUUGAGGAACCAUCACUAGAAUCCAGUUGUAUAAUAUUUCAUCAUACAGUAAAAUUUCUUCUGCCUGUUUACUGUUAAUCCCCAUUACCAUGCCCCAAUAUCAGGCAACCACUGAUCUUUUUUCUGUCUUUAAACAGUUGUCUUUUCUCCACCUUUAAUAUCAGUAGAAUCAUCUAAUAGGUGGUGUUUUGUAUCUGGCUUUUUUUACUUAGCAUAUUGUUUGUGAAGCAUUCAUGUUUUUUAAUUUUUAUAUAUUUUUAAGAAUAUUUAUUUUGAGAGAGUGAGCAUGCAAGAGCAGGGGAGGGGCAGAGAGAGAGAGAGAGAGAGAGAGAGAGAGAGAAUCCCAAGCAGGCUCUGCACUGCCAUCACAGAGCCUCACGCAGGGCUUGAACUCACAACUGUGAGAUCAUGACCUGAGCCGAAAUCAAGAGAUGGUGGCUUAAACUGAGCCACCCAGGUGCCCCAUAUGUUUUAAUUUCUUUUGAGUAGAUACUUAGAAAUGAAUUCCUUUUAUUUUUUUAAAUUUUUUGUUUUUAAUGUUUAUUUUUGAAAGAGAAAAGAGAGAGAGACAGCGUGACGGGAGGAGCAGAGAGAGAGGGAGACACAGAACUUGAAGCAGACUCCAGGCACCAAGCUGUCAGCAUAAAAUCUGACAUGGGGCUCGAACUCAGAAACUGUGAGAUCAUGACCUGAGCUGACUGAGCCACCCAGGCACCCCAACUUUUUUUUUUUUUUUAAAGGUUUAUUUAUUUUCGGAGAGAGAGAGGGAGAGAGAGAGAGCACACGCAGGGGAGCGGCAGAGGGAGACAGGGAAAGAAUCCUAUGCAGGUUCCAUGCUGCCAGUGCAGAGUCCUGUGGCUUGAACUCAAUAACAGUGAGAUCAUGACAUGAGACAGAAUCAAGAGUCAGAUGCUUAACUGACUGAGCCCACCCAGUCCUUGGAUUGCUAUUUUGUAUUUAACUUUUUUACGAGUAACUACCAUUUUAUAUUUAAUUCUUUUCCAAAGCAACUACCACUUACAUUCCCACCAGCAAUAUAUAAGAAUACUCUGUCUAGAUUUAUAUGUUUUUUGUUUAACCAUUUGAGAUAAAUUGCAGAGAGGUUGGCAUUUCAGCCCUUAGCCCUUCAGUAAAGAUCUUCUAAGAACAGUGGUCUCAUCCUGUAUUACUGUAAUAUUAUUGUCACUCUCUAGGAAUUUAGCAUGGAAACAUUAGUAUUAUCCAAUAUACAUUCCGUAUUUAGAUUUUCCUAUUUGUUCACAAAAUGUUUUUUAUAACUUUUUUUUAAAUCCAGGAUCUUCUCAUACAUCUCAUGCUAUAUUUGGUUGUCAUGUCUCUUUACUUGCCUUCAAUCUAGAGCAAGUUUCACUCACCUUUGUCAUUUGGAUGUUUUAUGACAUUGACAUUUUUUGAGUCCAGCCCAUUUGUCCACUAGUAUGUCCUAUAUUGUUGAUUAGUCUGAUUGUUUCCUCACAGGUUCAGGUUAAACAUUUUUUUGUUAGAGAGAAUACAUGGAUGAUCCUAUGUCUUCUCUUGCAUCACAUCAGGAGGUAAAUGUUGUAGUUUGUCCCAUUAUUAUGCUAAAUUUGAAUAUUUGCUUAAGAUAGCAUCUACCUCUUUUUUUCCUUUGUAAUUAGUAAGUAAUCUGUGAAAGACUGAGUGUAUCCUUUUCCCCAGCAGUCUUUCUCCCAACUGUAUUAGUAUCCAUUGAUGAUCCUUGCCCUGAGUCAUUUAUUGCUUGAGUGGGUUGCAAAAAGGUAAUUUUCUAAUUUUGUUGUUCCUUCUUCAUUUAUUGGCAAGUCUUUUGUAAAGUUACUGUUGAUAUUUAAGUGGAACUUACCAAUUCGAUCAUGAAGGAUUUUAUGGGGAAUGAAGAUUUUUGGUUGGUUAUUUAUUUGUUUAGUUUUAGAGAGAGAGCAUGCAUGAGUGGCGGAGAGGAGCAAAAGGGGAGAGAGAGAGAGAGAGAGAGAGAGAUUGAGAGACAGAGAGAGAGAAUGAGAAUCUGAAGUAGGCUCCAUGCUUGGCUUGGAGCCUAAUGCGGGGCUUACUCCCACAACCUUGGGAUCAUGACCUGAACUGAAAUCAAGAGUUCUAUGCUCAGGGUGCAUGAGUAGCUCAGUUGGUUAAGCGUCUGACUUCGGCCCAUGAUCUCUCAGUUUGUGAGUUGAGUUUGACCUCGUGUUGGGCUCUGUGCUGACUGAGCCUGGAGCCUGCUUCAGAUUCUGUCUCCCUCUUUAUCUGUCCCUCCCACUCAUGCUCGCUCUGUCUCUCUCUCUCUCUCUCGCUCUCUUUCAAAAAUGAAUAAAUGUUGAAAAAUAAAAAAAAGUUGAAUGCUCAACCAACUGAGCCACCCAGGCGCCCCUAUGCUUAUUUUUUAGCGUAUCCUAAUAGUGUGGAAGUAAGUGUAUUUAUUUGCCUUACCCUCAGCCACAGAGGAUCCCAAGAAAAGUACUGAAGAGAGAGAUCUCCUUGACUUUUGUGAAGCCUGAAAUAUAUAAGCUCCUUUGCUGUGUUUCCAUUAUUUUGGGAUGUUUGCUGCUCUUCUCUCUUUGAGAGACCACUCUUUUUAAGGAAGAAUUAGCAAAAGCUAUAGAACAUUUUUUUCCUCAAUUUUUAGUUUUUCUUUGUAAACCAAAUUGGAUAGUUUUUUUUUUCUGUUUUCUUUUGGAUGGAUUUGUGAUUUUUUGGUAGUAAUCUAACUGGUGAUGGUGUGGUUGGCAUUGUUCUUUAGGGGAGGUGAAACUGAAAAGAGGCUUUGAAGCAGGCCUCUGUAGCAUGCCAUCAAGAAAUUGCAAAGGUAAGACACUUAGACAGGUAUAGAGCAUUUUAAUCAAAGGUGUAGAGUAUUUCUUUUCAAAGCUCAUGCAUUCUUCUCUGUAUGCGGAAACAUUUGAGAAUGGAGUAUUUGUUUAUAGUUUAGCUUUUAGGCACUUUGUCCUUUUUUAAACACCCCCCCCCCCCCCGAAGUUUCUAGUGUUAGCUCUCUGACUAGGCAGCAGGAUAAGAUGCAUUUGACCAUUGCUGGCUUAUUGUAAGUUUUCUGUUAGGUAAACAUACUUUUGAAAACCAUAAUUAUAGAUUUACCUGAUCAUUUCGUAACUGCUACUUAAAAUUAUGUCCCAAAGAAAGUUUCAUGAACAACAAUAAACCACAGAUGUUUUGUUUAUGAAGAUAGCUUUUUGUCUGAAUCACGUUUUCGGUUCGUCAUUCUGGGACUUUUUGGGUAUCAUACGUUUCAUGUCUCCUCUGGGCCGUUCUAGUUAGUAUUUUAAAAAAUUUCAGUUGGCACUGAACCUAGUGAUUGUUUACUUUUUAGGAAAUAUUCAUGACUGUUAAGUUGGGAGUAAGAAAAAUGGGAGUUAUUUCUAAAUAUGCAUCUUUAAUGGGUAAUUGGGUUCUUAAAAGUGGAGUUAUGAUGAAGGAAAUGACUCAGCACUUUUUAAAUUGUGAUCCUUCUUUAGUCUGCUUCAUAUUCAUAGUUUUUUUUUCCUUUUGUGAUGAAUAUUUUCAAAUAUAUAGCAAAAUAGAAUAUAACAAAUAGACAUUCAUAGUUUUUUGCUGCUGUAGUAAAUUACCACAGUGGUUUUAAAAAAACCACCAAUUUAUUAUUUUAUAAUUAUGGAAUUCAGAAGUCCCAAUGGGUCUUACUGGGCUAAAAUAAAGGUGUUAUCAGGGCUGUGCUCUUGCUAAAAGAAUCCCUUUUAUUGUCUUUUCUUGUUUCCAGGGGCUACGUGCAUUCCUUGGCUUAUGGCCUAAUUUUUCCAUCUUCAAAGUCACUGAGUCCUCCUGUUGCUGUCUCCUUGGUUCUCUCUUCCAGUUCCCUCAGACCACUCUUAAAGAAGUGAUCACAUUGAGUUCCCUGGUAUAAUCCAGGAUAAUUUCCCCAUUUUAGGUCAGCUGAUUAGCAGCCUUAAUUCAUGUACCCUAAUGUUUACAUGUUACGGAGAGUAGGACAUUAUGGGGUUGAUGAAAAUGUUCUAAAACAUGGUGAUGGUUUUACAAUUCAGUGACUUUACUAAAAACUCAUUGUAAACUUGAAAUGGGUGAAUUUUAUGCUAUGUAAACUAUAUUUCAAUAAAGUUUCUUUGGUAAACUUUUAGAUGCUCUUUUUUGCUUUUAGAAGUCCAAAUUUCUUAAUGAAACAUAUUGGUCCCAUCCUGAUUAAAUUUUUUAAAAGUUGUGGUAAAGUACAUAUAACCUGAAAGAUGCCAUAUUAAUCGUUUUCACAUGUACAGUUCAGUUGUGGGAAGCAUGUUGUACAACCAACGUUCAGAACUUUUUCGUCUUGCAAAACUGAAACUCUACCCAUUAAACAGUAACUCUCCAUUUCCCCCUUCCCUCUGCCCCUUUUAGUCAUCCUUCCACUUUCUGUGUCUAUGAAUUUGAUUACUUUCAUAUAGGUGGAACAAUUGUGACAGCUUAUUUCACUUAGUAUAACAUCUUCAAAGUUUAGCUAUGAUUUUCCUUUAUUUUGUUUAAAGUUUUAUUUAAGUAAUCUCUACAUGCAACACGGGGCUAGAACCCACAAUCCCCACAAUCAGGAGUCGCAUGCUCUUCUGACUCAGCCAGUCAGGCACCCCAGAUUUUCCUUUUUUUUUUUUUUUUUUAAAUGUUUAUUUUUGAGAGACAGAAAGACAGAGCGUGAGCAGGGGAGGGGCAGAGAGAGAAGGAGACACAGAAUCUGAAGCAGGCUCCAGGCUCUGAGCUGUCAGCACAGAGCCUGACUACGGGCUCGAACUCCUAACUGUGAGAUCAUGACCUGAGCUGAAGUUGGAUGCUUAACCAGCUGAGCCACCCAGGCGCUCCCAGGUUUUCUUUUUAAAACUGAAUAAUAUUUUAGGGUGCCUGGGUGGCUCAGCUGGCCAAGCAUCUGACUCUUGAUUUCGGCUCAGGUCAUGAUCUCAGGGUUUGUGAGUUCAAGCCCUGCAUCAGGCUCUGUUUUGUCAGAGCAGAGCCUGCUUGGGAUUCUCUUUCUCCCUCUCUCUCUGCCUGCCUCCCCCCUCUCCAUCUCUCUCAAAAUAAAUAAACUUAAAAAACAAACAAAAAAAAAGACUGAAUAAUAUUCCAUUGUAUGUGUAUACCAUUUUAUUCAUCUGCUCACCUGUUGAUGGAGACUUGCUUUCCUCCACUUUUUGGCUGUUACGAAUAAUGCUCUAAACAUUGAUGUGCAGUUAUCUCUUUGAGAUUCUGCUUUCAGUUCUUUGGGGGAUAUACCCCAAAGUGGGAUUCCUGGAUCUGAGUUAAGUUUUAAUUUACCUUUCCAGCUCCUCUUCUGCCUCUUAUAAUAGACUUUGCACCACAUGUACAGACUCUAUCCCUGGAACUCACUAUGUAAUUUUGGAUUAAUCUAGACCUAUUAUGUUGUAGGUAACAGAAUCACUCCAUUUUUAUUUUUUAAUUUUAUUUACUUAUUAAAAUUUUUUUUGAGUUUAUUUUGAGAGAGAGAGAGAGAGAGGAUGCCAGUGUGUGAAUGGGGGAGAGACAGAGAGAAGAGGGAGAGAGAGGAUCCUAAGCAGGCUGUAUGCUAACAGCAUAGUGCCUAACAUGGGGCUCGAUCCCAUCACCCAUGAGAUAAUGACCUGAGCUGAAAUCAAGAGUCAGAUGUUUAACUGACUGAGCUACCCAGGCUCCCCUGUUUAUUUAUUUUUAGAGAGAGAGAGUGCAAGCAGGGGAAAGGGGCAGAGGGAGAGAAAGAGAAUCACAUUCAGUGCAGAGCCUAACGUGGGGCUCAGUCCCACAAACCUGGGAUCAUGACCUGAGCCCAAAUCAGGAGUUGGGCGCUCAACCAACUGAGCCACCCAGGCACUCCCAAACUCACUUCAAACUGGAUAAUGCUAAAGGUGUGUAUGUUGGAGUCGGGGGAGGUACCUUAAAGAUGUUGCUAUGUUACACAGAACCCAAAGACCUGAAUAUGUUUGGGCUUCAGGAAAAACUGGACUUUAAAAUAACUCAGGUUUCUGGCACUUGGGUGGCUCAGUUGGUCAAGCAUCUGACUUCGGCUCAGGUCAUGAUCUCAUGGUUGGUGAGUUUGAGCCCUCCCAUUGCGCUCUCAGCUGUCAGGGCAGAGCCUGCUUGGGAUCCUCUGUCUCCCUCUCUCUCUGUCCCUCCCCUGCUCAUGUGCACAUUCUCUUCCCCUCUCUCUUUCAAAAAUAAGUAAAUAUUAACAAUUUUUUUAAUAUUUCUGGUUUCUUUGUAUGUUCUAUGUAGGUGUUUGCAGUGGUCUUCUAUCUCUGCUGAAUGGAACUGUGACUGUCCAAAGCUCCCAAAUAUGUAGUUUAUAGUUCAUAUACUAUGGGAAAAACUUUCACUUCUAAAUUCUGGGGUGCCCCCACCGUCACUUAACUGUGGAAUGACCUCGCUGUGUCCUGAGGAAUCCUAUGUGGAAAUGAGAGCAUUGUCUCAACAAGUAACAACUACAAAUGCUGUCAUAUCUCUCCCCAAUGGGAUAUGAUUCUAGCCAGGUCCAGCUAUCAUACUUUGACUUAUUGUUAAAGGUGCCCCAUCCCACCAGCUGAAGGCCUCAGGAUGAUAGCCGUGCUUUCCUUGUUUUGUUCUUGAUUGGUCCAGAUAAACAUUUGCAUGAUCCUGCAGCCUGUAGGCUAAAUGAUAGUUUUUUUCUUUUAUUGUUAUCCUUCCUCUACCCUCUCUAAUAUAAUCCCAUCAUGAGAGGAAAAGCAGAUAAAAAGGAGAAAGGAAAAAUACUAUAUUUUGGUUACAGUUUAUUCCAUUUAUUAGGCACCUUCUAUGUGCCGGGCACUAUUCUCAGCUGGGGGUUAUAAGCAGAAAGAAUACAGAGCAUGUGCUAUCUUCUACAGGACAGGAGCAGUAAAAUACAAUCAACAAGUCUCAUGGUCACCUGUUAACUCAUUUCACUGUUAGAAGAUUGAAGGCUUUAGCCUGGCUUGCCCCCAAAAGAUUUACCAUGUCUGAUAUUACUCAGGACCAUCCUUGAGAGGAGCACAGGGGACAGGAUGGGAGAUAGUUCUUUUUAUGAGGGCUGUGCUGCUUUAGCUUUCUCCUUCCAAUAAGAUGCCACUUUUUGGACCUAGGGUUUGACUAGGGGUGUAAUAAUUACAGCCUCCUAGAGUGCCUGGGUGGCUCAGUUGGUUGAGCAUCCAACUCUUGGUUUUGGCUCAGGUCAUGAUUUCAUGGUUUGUGAGUUUGAGCCCCACGUAGGGCUCUGCACUGCCUGUGUGGAGCCUGCUUGGGAUUCCCUCUCUCUCCCUCUGCUGCAUGCUCUUUCUCUCAAAAAUAACUCACACUUAAAGAAUUACAGCCUCCUGAUGAUGGCACUCUUUUCAAACUUCAGUUCACUGCUUAUCCAUUGCAUGUUGGUGCAUUCCCUUUGAAACCCAACCCCAGUAAUAUUUAGGCUUUUUAGUCUCUAAGAUUGCUGAAGAGAAUACCUGGGACCAGGUUAAUUCUCCUUAGUUUUGCUUAUCUUCCUGGCUUAAAGGUCUCUACCUCAGGGCAGGUGGAAAAUUCUGGAUUUAGAGCUUUCUCAAACCUCUGUGGAAUGUUAUCUCCAUAAAUUUACUCCCUCCCCAGCCUUAUUUCUGUCAGAUACACUUUAUAAUGAGGGGAGGGAAUGGCAGUUUGGGGGAACCCUAUGCAAAGGUUUCGAAAGGGAUUAUCUACAUCCUAUUCAUCAGGGUCUCCCUGUUUCUUAGUGGCACAAAGAAUUCACUUGGUGAAUUUCAGCAGAGUAAUUAUCUGAUCAAUAGAGGUUUCGGAUCCAUGGCUUUAGGGCAGAAAGGCCUUUGCUUAAUCAUUAUAUUCUUAUUUGUCAUAUCUCCCCUCUAGGAGACUGGAUUGGACAGGAUGGUGUUUUGCAGAUUGGAUUGUUUUGUAGAACCUUACUGAAGUUAGCAUAGUCUUCUGUGGGCAAUUUCUUUUUGUCGCCCAAAGCUCC